GACGAACGCUGGCGGCGUGCUUAACACAUGCAAGUCGAACGGAAAGGCCCUGCUUUUGUGGGGUGCUCGAGUGGCGAACGGGUGAGUAUCACGUGAGUAACCUGCCCUUUACUUUGGGGUAACUUCAGGAAACUGGAGCUAAUACCGGAUAUGAACUCCUUCUGCAUGGGUUUUGUUGGAAAGUGUCGGAGGUUGGGGAUGGACUCGCGGCUUAUCAGCUUGUUGGUGGGGUAGUGGAUUACCAAGGCUUUGACGGGUAGCCGGCCUGAGAGGGUGACCGGCCACAUUGGGACUGAGAUAGGGGCCAGACUCCUACGGGAGGCAGCAGUGGGGAAUAUUGCAAACUGGGCGGAAGCAUGAUGCAGCAACGCCGCGUGCGGGAUGACGGCCUUCGGGUUGUAAACCGCUUUCGACUGUGACGAAGAGUGAGUGACGGUAAUGGGUAAAGAAGCACCGGCUAACUACGUG
rnacentral:rRNA from 1 species